UUCUAUUUCCUCCACUCACACUUAACCACAUUAUUUCAUUCUCUUCCUUACAAGAAAACCCUAGCCUCCAUGGAUGAAGCUUAAAGUCUUAGGCAUUGACCUUGAUCUUUAAGGCCCUUCCACUUACUUUAGACCAUAAAGUUUGGAAUACUUUUUAUUCCCCUCAUCCUCCUCUUCAAAACCCUUGAAGGAUCUAGCCUAACUCCUAGUUUUGCUUUGGUAUCUAGAGAUUCUAUUCUCUAGUGAGACCGAAAAUUUGGGGCGAUUUCAUUUUAGUGGUAAUUGGGAUUUUCAUUCCAAUUGAGGUACAGGACUCAGGAUUUGAAGAUUCCAUUGCUCCUUGGAUGGCUUAUAGUUCUAAGUUUCUAUUUUAUGCAAGUGUUAACAUAAGAUGCCUCUUUGUAGCCCUAUUUGUUUAAACUUGUAUUCGUUGAUUCGUAUAUGUAAAGUGUACGUAAGUGCACUCUUUUCAAUGUAUUUAACGUGUAUGAGAUGAGGCCGGAGGCCAAUGACAUGUAUCUCGUUUUCUAUGCACUUUUGUUUUCAAAGUUUAUUAUGAAAAUAUUGGAAAAUGUUAAGUCAUUGCUUCAUAA